GAAGAAGCAGCCCCAAUCCCCUUCUCCCCCUCUUUCCAAAUAUGGAAAUAUUCUACUUCCUCGUCUUCGGUGGCCUGUCGGCGGUGGUGGCGGUGCUGGAGCUGAGCAAGAGCAGCAAGGACCGCGUCAGCACCUCCGUCGCCUUCAACGCCUUCAAGAACAACUACGUGUUCGUCUACUCGCUCAUGAUGGCUGGAGACUGGUUGCAGGGUCCGUAUGUGUACUACCUCUACAGCCAGUAUGGCUUCAGUAAGGGCGAGAUCGGCCGGCUGUUUAUCGCCGGGUUCGGGUCUUCGAUGCUGUUCGGGACAAU
rnacentral:misc_RNA from 1 species